GAGGGGGUAGUCUACAUUCUGUUCAACAGGAACCCUGUGGUCAGGUAGGAGGGGGUAGUCUACAUUCUGUUCAACAGGAACCCUGUGGUCAGGUAGGAGGGGGUAGUCUACAUUCUGUUAUAGUCAGGUAGGAGGGGGGUAGUCUACAUUCUGUUAUAGUCAGGUAGGAGGGGUAGUCUACAUUCUGUUAUAGUCAGGUAGGAGGGGGUAGUCUACAUUCUGUUCAACAGGAACCCUGUGGUCAGGUAG